GGGGUUAUUAAUGGUUUUAAUAGAAAACUUUGCGAAGUUUCUACAGUAGUUCGAUUCUACUUAAUUCCA
rnacentral:tRNA from 1 species